rnacentral:rRNA from 1 species
CCUACGGGGGGCUGCAGUGGGGAAUAUUGGACAAUGGGGGGAACCCUGAUCCAGCCAUGCCGCGUGUGUGAAGAAGGCCCUCGGGUUGUAAAGCACUUUCAGUGAGGAAGAACGCCUGGUGGUUAAUACCCAUCAGGAAAGACAUCACUCACAGAAGAAGCACCGGCUAACUCCGUGCCAGCAGCCGCGGUAAUACGGAGGGUGCGAGCGUUAAUCGGAAUUACUGGGCGUAAAGCGCGCGUAGGUGGCUUGAUAAGCCGGUUGUGAAAGCCCCGGGCUCAACCUGGGAACGGCAUCCGGAACUGUCAAGCUAGAGUGCAGGAGAGGAAGGUAGAACUCCCGGUGUAGCGGUGAAAUGCGUAGAGAUCGGGAGGAAUACCAGUGGCGAAGGCGGCCUUCUGGACUGACACUGACACUGAGGUGCGAAAGCGUGGGUAGCAAACAGGAUUAGAUACCCUAGUAGUC